rfam:Fukomys damarensis contig159785, whole genome shotgun sequence.
GGGGAUGUGGCUCAGUGGUGGAGUGCUUGUCUACCAUACAUGAGACCCUGUUUUCCAUUCCCA